UACAGAGGGUGCGAGCGUUAAUCGGAAUUACUGGGCGUAAAGCGUGCGUAGACGGCUAUCUAAGUCGGGUGUGAAAGCCCCGGGCUCAACCUGGGAAUUGCAUUCGAGACUGAAUAGCUAGGGUACGGUAGAGGGAAGUGGAAUUUCCGGUGUAGCGGUGAGAUGCGUAGAUAUCGGAAGGAACAUCAGUGGCGAAAGCGACUUCCUGGACCAGUACCGACGUUCAGGCACGAAAGCGUGGGGAGCAAACAGG
rnacentral:rRNA from 1 species